rnacentral:rRNA from 1 species
ACUCAAAGGAAUUGACGGGGACCCGCACAAGCGGUGGAGCAUGUGGUUUAAUUCGAAGCAACGCGAAGAACCUUACCAAAUCUUGACAUCCUUUGACCGCUCUAGAGAUAGAGUCUUCCCCGUCGGGGGACAAAGUGACAGGUGGUGCAUGGUUGUCGUCAGCUCGUGUCGUGAGAUGUUGGGUUAAGUCCCGCAACGAGCGCAACCCUUAAGCUUAGUUGCCAUCAUUAAGUUGGGC